rnacentral:rRNA from 1 species
CAGCCGCCGCGGUAAUACGUAGGGUGCGAGCGUUAAUCGGAUUUACUGGGCGUAAAGCGUGCGCAGGCGGCCCGUUAAGACAGGUGUGAAAUCCCUGGGCUCAACCUAGGAAUUGCGCUUGUGACUGGCGGGCUCGAGUACGGUAGAGGGGGGUGGAAUUCCUGGUGUAGCAGUGAAAUGCGUAGAGAUCAGGAGGAACACCGAUGGCGAAGGCAGCCCCCUGGGCCUGUACUGACGCUCAUGCACGAAAGCGUGGGGAGCAAACAGGAUUAGAUACCCUGGUAGUCCACGCCCUAAACGAUGGGUACUAGCCGUUUGGUGCGCGAGAGCGCUGAGUGGCGAAGCUAACGCGUGAAGUACCCCGCCUGGGGAGUACGGCCGCAAGGUUGAAACUUAAAGGAAUUAGCGGG